GGACAUGGGGACAGGGUGUGGGGCACAAGAACACUGUGGGGACACAAGGACAGGCUGUGGGGCACAAGAACACUGUGGGGACAUGUGGGGCACAGCCCUGGCUGCACGCCAUCCCUGGCAGUGCCACCUGCCCUGGUGGCACCAUGGCUGGGGUCACACAGCACGCCCCAUGGGACCUUCACUCCCGGCCCUACAGCACUUGUAGGGCACAGAGAACAUUCCAUGGGGACGUUUAUAGGUUCAUUCCCGGCCCUACAGCACUUGUAGGGCACAGAGAACAUUCCAGACCAUUCCAUGGGGACACCGAUAGGUUUAUCCCAGCCCUACAGGCACUUGUAGGGCACAGAGGAUGUUCCAGACCAUUCCAUGGGGACAUUUACAGGUUUAUCCCAGCCCUACAGGUAUUUGUAGGGCGCAGAGAACAUUCCAGACCAUUCCAUGGUUUAUCCCAGCCCUUACAGGUAUUUGUAGGGCACAGAGCAUUCCAUGGGUACAUUUAUAUGUUUAUUCCCAGCCCUACAGGCACUUGUAGGGCACAGAGAACAUUCCAGACCAUUCCAUGGGUACAUUUAUAUGUUUAUUCCCAGCCCUACAGGCACUUGUAGGG
rnacentral:lncRNA from 1 species